rnacentral:rRNA from 1 species
AUUGAACGCUGGCGGCAUGCUUUACACAUGCAAGUCGAACGGCAGCGCGGGCUUCGCCCUGGCGGCGAGUGGCGAACGGGUGAGUAAUGCAUCGGAACGUGCCCAGUAGUGGGGGAUAGGCCGGCGAAAGCCGGAUUAAUACCGCAUACGACCUGAGGGUGAAAGCGGGGGACCGAAAGGCCUUGCGCUAUUGGAGCGGCCGAUGUCGGAUUAGCUAGUUGGUGGGGUAAAGGCUUACCAAGGCGACGAUCCGUAGCUGGUCUGAGAGGACGACCAGCCACACUGGGACUGAGACACGGCCCAGACUCCUACGGGAGGCAGCAGUGGGGAAUUUUGGACAAUGGGGGCAACCCUGAUCCAGCCAUGCCGCGUGCGGGAAGAAGGCCUUCGGGUUGUAAACCGCUUUUGUUCGGGAAGAAAUCCUCUGGGCUAAUACCCCGGGGGGAUGACGGUACCGGAAGAAUAAGCACCGGCUAACUACGUG